UGCCCUUGGAUCAACCCUCAAACGUACAAAACUGGGACACUUCCGACUCAGUUCACACUCGUCCGAACAUUAACUACGACAGGUCCGAAAGCCGGCCAGGGAACGCUGACAGAAACAAAGGAGGCGGAGUGACAGAAUUUUGAGUCCACUAUGGUGACCAAAACAGAGGAGACACAGUUGAAUAGGCUUGAGAGUCAGUUGGAGCAUGGAGGAGGUGGCGCUUGGGAUUAUCUCUGUUUGGUCAGGAAGCUCAAGGUUAGGCGUUCUGAAAAGGUCUUGAAGCAUGGUUUAUCCAUCUUGAAUGACCCCAAGAAGAGAUCUAGUCUCGGUCAUGAUGAAUGGACUCUUUACGAACAGGUGGCAAUUGCGGCUAUGGACUGCCAAUCUCUUGAUGUUGCAAAGGAUUGCAUUAAUGUGUUGCAGAAAAGAUUUCCAGAGAGCAAAAGAGUUGGCGGGCUGGAGGGGAUGUUACUCGAAGCAAAGGGAUCUUGGACAGAGGCAGAAAAGGCUUACUUAAGCUUGCUAGAGGAUAAUCCAUUGGAUCAGGUAAUACAUAAAAGGAGGGUUGCUUUGGCAAAGGCACAAGGCAAAGUGUCAGAAGCUAUUGAAUUUCUCAACAAAUAUCUAGAAAUAUUUAUGGCAGAUUCUGAUGCCUGGAGAGAACUUGCUGAGAUAUAUGUUUCCUUACAGAUGUACAAGCAAGCAGCUUUCUGCUAUGAGGAGUUAAUACUAUCUCAGCCUACAGUCCCACUAUAUCAUUUAGCCUAUGCUGAUAUGCUUUACACACUUGGUGGACUAGAAAACCUUCAGGCAGCAAAGAAAUAUUAUUCAUCAACAAUAGACUUGACUGGGGGCAAGAACACCAGAGCGCUUUUUGGUAUUUGUUUGUGUACAUCUGCCAUCGCACAACUUACAAAAGGGCGAAACAAGGAAGAAAAGGAUAGUCCAGACCUGCAAUCUCUUGCAACAGCAGCCUUGGAAAAAGACUACAAGCAAAGAGCUUCCGACAAGGUUUCUGUGCUUGGUUCGGCAUUGAAAAGCUUGAAAGUUUCAUCCUAACUUCUUCGCCAUUGAAUCAAGCUUUCUAUUGUUGGCCCAGAUGCCAGGAUCUUCAUCACAUCCUAAACAGAAAGCUGGAAAUCUACUAAUGUUUUAGAUUUUAAGUUAUGAUUUGCUUGAACUGUUCUAGAAUUCUCCAUUGAGCAGACUAGGAACAUUUUGAGAGAAAUGUUUUUCUCCUUU
rnacentral:misc_RNA from 1 species